rnacentral:rRNA from 1 species
GCUAAAUAGCUAGCUUAAACACAACAUUAAAUUAACAAUAUAGAUAAAUUAACAAAACCUAAAAUUAUUAAUUAAACCAUUUUUCCACCUAAGUACGGGAGACGAAAAAG